GAGUGUGGUUGUGUGGGCGAAAUUCCGGAGGCGGUUCGUGUAGCAAGCGGCGGGAGGUGGGGGAGGUCUUAUCAGGCGAGGCAGCGGGUUCGCAGAGCGCUCCUUAGCCACUAAAGCUACCGACUCGGAGUCUCCCAAACAAUGAGCCCAAAGGGCGCUUGACUGAAGACCAGCGUGACAGAAGAAAAUGAGAGUCAUUUCCUGACGAGGAGAAAGAGGGAGCCGAGAACCCCCGAGACCAAUAAAGGCGGCUCCGAGGGCAGAACUUUAGGAGCGGGCGCAGGCUGCGCUCUCAGCUCUUGGGUCGCUACUCCGCACCGUCAGGUGACCUCACCUGGCUACUUCAAGGGGUUCCUUUGGCGGGCAGGGCUUUCGCCUCAGGCCCGAUCCUCAGAGACAAAGUGCUGGGGUGUCAACUCUUAAGACCUUCACUUCUGUAAGAAACGCGCCAUUUCAGUGUCAUUUGAGUUCUUGCUACAUCCGGGCCAGCUGUUUUUGCUGUAAACAAGACAGACUGAACUUUCCAUUCUUUGGGAGAAGUUGUUUGUUAAGCACACAUACACAGUCGGAAUUAGCAGUAUCGGGGACCAAGAGUUGUCAUAUUCUGUAGCAAAAGCUGCUAAGCAAAUCUUUUGCUUUCCGUCUUAUGAUCAGAUUCAGCGCUAAGAAGAAAAGGAAUCCUGAGAGCCACCUUUGGUGGCCUGAAUGUCCUGAUCAACAUAAGCAGAGUCAUGGAAUUUUGAUGUCAGAGACUUGGGAAUAUAAGGGAUCACACCACACCAGCUAUGGUAGCCUUGAAAAGAGAAUCCAGCUCUUCACCACGGAUUGCAAGCUGCAGGUGACAUGGAGUGAUCUGCUCUACUCUGAAAUCCUUGGAAGCAUUACUUGCCACUCCAGCACCUCAGCAGUGAGGCACCCCAGAAUUGCAGCACUAUAUACUGCAGUAGUGGCACCAACCCUUCCAUGGCUCAUGGUGCAAGUCUUCACAUGUCUGUGGACGCAGCCCAUGGGAAGCUGUCACCCAGCUAUCUUAGGGGCAUCCAGUCGAAGACCCUUUCUUGCCUUGCUAAACUCACACCUGACCCAGGAGUUGGAGAAGUUAACAGAGGAUCCAGAGGAAAGUGGAGAGCUGCAAGGCUGGUCACUGACACUCACUGAAGAGGAUUAGGGAUGGCAGGUUCCAUCGCCAAAUCUCACAGAAGAAUCUUAUAUUUCCUUUCCCAUUCGGAAACACACAUGAAAGGGAUUCCGGGCAAUGUCCUUCUGCUUAGCCAGGCUGCCACAGCAUGAAGCCACCACCUCUGGUUUUCCUCCUUCCUUCCUUCCUUCCUUCCUUCCUUCCUUCCUUCCUUCCUUCCUUCCUUCCUUCCUUCCUUUCUUUUCUUUCUUUUCUUUCUUUCUCUCUCUCUCUCUUUCUUUCUUUUUUUUUUUGUCAGGGAGGUAAUCAGGUUUCUUUUUUUAGUGGAAGUGUUGGAGAUUGAAUCCAGGACCUCGUGCAUGCUAAGCAUGCACUCUACCACUGAGCUCUACCCUUCCCUCCCCUCCUAGUUUCUUUAUAGCACUCCAUGUGGCCUGCCUCUUGGGAUGCCCUGACAAAAGCAAGAGUUUAGGUAGUUUCCAUGAUUCCUGACAUGAGGCUGUCUGUGAUGCAGGGAAGUUUUGAUUUCUCCUUCCUUAUAUAGAAGAAUAAGCCCUAUCUUUUCUUUCCUCCCCCUGCUGCCCUCCCCAUCUCUCAUUGCCACCCACACACUAAACCACUUAACUUACUUUUUAUUUUUAUUGAAGUAUAGUUGAUUCACAAUACUGUGUUUCAGGUGUACAGCAAAGUGAUUCACAUAUAUGUAUAUAUUUUCAGAUUAUUUUCCAUUAUAGGUUAUUACAAGAUACUGAAUAUAGUUCCCUGUGCUAUACAGUAAAUCCUGUUGUUUAUCUAUUUUAUAUAUAGUAGUGUGUAUCUGUUAAACCCAUACUCUUAAUUUAUCCACACCCUCACCCCAGGACCCUUUGGUAACCAUAAGUGUUUUCUUUG